rnacentral:piRNA from 1 species
ACNCCUGCUUGUAGUCUACCGGCCU